rnacentral:rRNA from 1 species
UACGUAGGGUGCAAGCGUUUGUUCGGAAUUAUUGGGCGUAAAGCGCGUGUAGGCGGCUUUGCAAGUCGGGUGUGAAAUCCCUCAGCUUAACUGAGGAAGUGCGCCCGAAACUGCUUUGCUUGAGUGCCGGAGAGGAUGGCGGAAUUCCCCAAGUAGAGGUGAAAUUCGUAGAUAUGGGGAGGAACACCGGUGGCGAAGGCGGCCAUCUGGACGGUAACUGACGCUGAGACGCGAAAGCGUGGGGAGCAAACAGG